rnacentral:lncRNA from 1 species
GGCAAGAAGUUUGGAGAGAAAUUGAGAGCAUGUAACGACCCCGGAAAUAUUAAAAUGAAAUGAGUAUUUAAAUAUAUCAAAUGCGGAAGCGAGAUCAAAAUUUCAGUUGACAUCCCUUACACGAAAACCAAAAACGUACUUAAAUUAUAAAAGGUUAAACUAACUAAAAGAGAAACUCGAAAACAAAGCUAUGAGUAUGACUACAGAGUCUCU